rnacentral:rRNA from 1 species
CUAUUAUUGAGCCUAAAGCGUCCGUAGCCGGUCUUGUAAAUCUCUGGGUAAAUCCUGCCGCUUAACGGUGGGAAUGCUGGAGAGACUGCAAGACUGGGGAUCGGGUGAAGUGAGAGGUACUCCUGGGGUAGGGGUAAAAUCCUGUAAUCCUGGGGGGGCGACCGGUGGCGAAAGCGUCUCACUAGAACGACUCCGACGGUGAGGGACGAAGGCUAGGGGAGCAAACCGGAUUAGAUACCCGGGUAGUCCUAGCUGUAAACGCUGCACACUUGGUGUUGCCCCUUCUUCGGGAAAGGGCAGUGCCGGAGCGAAGGUGUUAAGUGUGCCGCUUGGGGAGUAUGGUCGCAAGGCUGAAACUUAAAGGAAUUGGCGGGAGAGCACCGCAACGGGAGGAGCGUGCGGUUUAAUUGGAUUCAACGCCGGAAAACUCACUAGGGAAGACCAUGGUAUGAGGGUCAACCUGAAGAAUUUACUCGAUUACAUGGAGAAGUGGUGCAUGGCCGUCGUCAGCUCGUACCGUAAAGCGUUCACUUAAGUGUGAUAACGAGCGAGACCCCCGUUCACUUUUGCCAGUACUCUCGCGAGAGAGCACGCACUAUGUGGAGACUGCCAGUGUUAAACUGGAGGAAGGAGAGGUCAACGGCAGGUCAGUAUGCCCCGAAUUCCCUGGGCUACACGCGCGCUACAAAGGACGGAACAAUGGGCUGCAAUUCCGAAAGGAAGAGCCAAUCCCGAAAUCCGUUCGUAGUUCAGACUGAGGACUGUAAUUCGUCCUCACGAAGCUGGAUUCCGUAGUAAUCGCGAUUCAACAGAUCGCGGUGAAUAUGCCCCUGCUCUU